UACGAAGGGUGCAAGCGUUACUCGGAAUUACUGGGCGUAAAGCGUGCGUAGGUGGUUGUUUAAGUCUGCUGUGAAAGCCCUGGGCUCAACCUGGGAAUUGCAGUGGAUACUGGGCGACUAGAGUGUGGUAGAGGAUAGUGGAAUUUCCGGUGUAGCAGUGAAAUGCGUAGAGAUCGGAAGGAACAUCUGUGGCGAAGGCGACUAUCUGGGCCAACACUGACACUGAGGCACGAAAGCGUGGGGAGCAAACAGGAUUAGAUACCCUGGUAGUCCACGCCCUAAACGAUGCGAACUGGAUGUUGGGCACAACUUGGUGCCCAGUAUCGAAGCUAACGCGUUAAGUUCGCCGCCUGGGGAGUACGGUCGCAAGACUGAA
rnacentral:rRNA from 1 species